rnacentral:rRNA from 1 species
AACGAACGCUGGCGGCAUGCCUAACACAUGCCAGUCGAACGAGACCUUCGGGUCUAGUGGCGCACGGGUGCGUAACGCGUGGGAACCUGCCCUUAGGUUCGGAAUAACUCCCCGAAAGGGGUGCUAAUACCGGAUAAUGUCUUCGGACCAAAGAUUUAUCGCCUUUGGAUGGGCCCGCGUUGGAUUCGCUAGUUGGUAGGGUAAAAGCCUACCAAGGCGACGAUCCAUAGCUGGUCUGAGAGGAUGAUCAGCCACACUGGGACUGAGGCACGGCCCAGACUCCUACGGGAGGCAGCAGUGGGGAAUAUUGGACAAUGGGCGAAAGCCUGAUCCAGCAAUGCCGCGUGAGUGAUGAAGGCCUUAGGGUUGUAAAGCUCUUUUACCCGGGAUGAUAAUGACAGUACCGGGAGAAUAAGCGCCGGCUAACUCCGUG